AGAGGAUUGGAGGAGCUCCGUUUAAUUCAGAAAUAGGGGUGGAGAGAGGGUGGCACAGCUGCUGAGUCAUGGAUACCUCUUAGGGCUGCAUAUAUGUAUAUAUAUAUAUAUUCCCCUUAAACAUUCACUUGUAUAUAUGUAUAUGGUAUAUACUACAGGAGAGAUGGGAGCUACGAACAAGAAGGCAGCUCAAAUGGGUUUGCAUGACUCAGGAGACGUUUGCUUUCCCUUCCCCUUCCCUGCCCUGAAUUGAAGGGAGCUCCCUCCCCUAUCUAC
rnacentral:pre_miRNA from 1 species